rnacentral:rRNA from 1 species
GCAUAUCAAUAAGCGGAGGAAAAGAAACCAACCGGGAUUGCCUCAGUAACGGCGAGUGAAGCGGCAAGAGCUCAAAUUUGAAAGCUGGCCCCUUCGGGGUCCGCGUUGUAAUUUGCAGAGGAUGCUUCGGGUGCGGCCCCUGUCUAAGUGCCCUGGAACGGGCCGUCAGAGAGGGUGAGAAUCCCGUCUUGGGCAGGGUGCCCGUGCCCGUGUGAAGCUCCUUCGACGAGUCGAGUUGUUUGGGAAUGCAGCUCUAAAUGGGUGGUAAAUUUCAUCUAAAGCUAAAUACCGGCCGGAGACCGAUAGCGCACAAGUAGAGUGAUCGAAAGAUGAAAAGCACUUUGAAAAGAGAGUUAAACAGCACGUGAAAUUGUUGAAAGGGAAGCGCUUGCGACCAGACUCGGCCCCGGGGUUCAGCCAGCACUCGUGCUGGUGUACUUCCCCGGGGGCGGGCCAGCGUCGGUUUGGGCGGCCGGUCAAAGGCCCCAGGAAUGUAUCGCCCUCCGGGGUUGUCUUAUAGCCUGGGGUGCAAUGCGGCCAGCCCGGACCGAGGAACGCGCUUCGGCACGGACGCUGGCGUAAUGGUCGCAAACGACCCGUCUUGAAACACGGACCAAGGAGUCUAACAUCUACGCGAGUGUUCGGGUGUCAAACCCGUACGCGCAGUGAAAGCGAACGGAGGUGGGAGCCCCCCCGGGGCGCACCAUCGACCGAUCCUGAUGUCUUCGGAUGGAUUUGAGUAAGAGCGUAGCUGUGGGGACCCGAAAGAUGGUGAACUAUGCCUGAAUAGGGCGAAGCCAGAGGAAACUCUGGUGGAGGCUCGCAGCGGUUCUGACGUGCAAAUCGAUCGUCAAAUUUGGGUAUAGGGGCGAAAGACUAAUCGAACCCAUCUGGUAGCUGGUUCCUGCG